AUUAGCCAUGCAUGUCUCAGUGCAAGCCGUAUUAAGGCGAUACCGCGAAUGGCUCAAUAUAUCAGUUUUGGUUCCUUAGAUCUUACUCAGUUACUUGGAUAACUGUGGUAAUUCUAGAGCUAAUACAUGCAAUCAGAACUCUGACCAGUGAUGGGAUGAGUGCUUUUAUUAGAUCAAAACCAAUCGACGGAGGGCCUCGCGUCCGAAGUCGUUAAUUUUGAUGAAUCUGGAUAACUUUUGCCGAUCGCAUGGUCCAGUACCGGCGACGCAUCUUUCAAAUGUCUGCCUUAUCAACUUUCGAUGGUAGUUUCUGCGACUACCAUGGUUGUCACGGGUAACGGGGAAUCAGGGUUCGAUUCCGGAGAGGGAGCCUGAGAAACGGCUACCACAUCCAAGGAAGGCAGCAGGCGCGCAAAUUACCCACUCCCGGCACGGGGAGGUAGUGACGAAAAAUAACGAUACGGGACUCUUACGAGGCCUCGUAAUCGGAAUGAGUACACUUUAAAUAUUUUAACGAGGAACAAUUGGAGGGCAAGUCUGGUGCCAGCAGCCGCGGUAAUUCCAGCUCCAAUAGCGUAUACUAAAAUUGUUGCGGUUAAAAAGCUCGUAGUUGCAUUUGUGCGCCGCGCUGUCGGUGCACCGCAUCCGCGGUGAUACUGACACGUCUGCGGAGCAUAUCGUCGGUGAGCCGGCGGUAAUACGCCGGUUCAAUAUCAAAAUCCUAUCGCGGUGCUCUUCGGUGAGUGUCGAGGUGGGCCGACAAUUUUACUUUGAACAAAUUAGAGUGCUCAAAGCGGGCUCAAAAUGCUGCUUGAAUAUUUCGUGCAUGGAAUAAUAGAAUAUGAUCUCGGUUCUAUUUUGUUGGUUUUCAGAACUCCGAGGUAAUGAUUAAUAGGGAUAACUGGGGGCAUUCGUAUUGCGACGUUAGAGGUGAAAUUCUUGGGAUCGUCGCAAGACGAACAUCAGCGAAAGCAUUUGCCAAAAGUGUUUUCAUCAAUCAAGAACGAAAGUUAGAGGUU
rnacentral:rRNA from 1 species